rnacentral:lncRNA from 1 species
CGGUUUUCGAUACGUCGCGGUUAAGGCGUUGCGAGCCAGAGCCAAUGCCGUUCAGCAAGCGUGAUAAUUAACCGAGCAGGUUGGCGAAAUUCUUAACGCAGACUUUCGCAUGUUAAUGCUGCAGGCACGUCGCCGUGCGGAUUGGCUCGGCAUGGGACGCGGCUUCGGGAACCGCCGGUUCUGAUACGUGCCUCCGGGAAGUCGGACCCGUGUAAUAUACACCCAUGCACACACGAGAUGCAUAUGGAUAUCGCAGAGGUGAGAGUUUCCUGGACGUGUUCAACGCGCCACUUAUAUGCCGGAUCCCAAAUGUACGGGCACAAAUGGAGAACAUAUUAAGCAGACACUCGUUAUAUUGCCAUGGUCACUUGUAAAAGUUUUAUCGGCGUUCUCCAAGGGGAUCAAGACUUUGAUAAAAUGGUUUGAAAAGUAAACGAAUUGCGAACUCUUAUUGCCAAUUCGUUACACGUGUCAGCCCGCGAUUUCGCCCAAUGGUAAUUUAUUUUUAUUAUACUACGUAAUGUUUCCACUUGUUAAUGCCAAAUUUAUGUACAUUUCUUUUUUUUUUUGUCUUUAUUUUCAUUUGGCCAAGUGGAAACGCAACGAAUGAGAAACGACCGGAAAACCAUUGAUAAAUGUUGACGUAAGAUCAACUGAUUGAGCCAGGAAAAAAUUUACGAACUUCCUUUGGGAUCCAUUCCAAAAUAUCAAUAAAUAAACAUAAAUUAAGGACUCGAUAAAUCAACGUUUCAAAAG